GCUCCCGUAGUUCAAUGGAUAGAACAAGUCUCUCCUAAAGAUUAGAUACGAGUUCGAUUCUCGUCGGGAGUACCA
rnacentral:tRNA from 1 species